GGUUGCGAUCAUACCGGCACUAAUGCACCGGAUCCCAUCAGAACUCCACAGUUAAGCGUGCUUGGGCGAGAGUAGUACUAGGAUGCGUAACCCCCUGGGAAGUCCUCGUGUUGCAACCCC
rnacentral:rRNA from 1 species